GAUGAACGCUGGCGGCGUGCCUAAUACAUGCAAGUCGAGCGAACAGAUAAGGAGCUUGCUCCUUUGACGUUAGCGGCGGACGGGUGAGUAACACGUGGGUAACCUACCUAUAAGACUGGGAUAACUUCGGGAAACCGGAGCUAAUACCGGAUAAUAUUUCGAACCGCAUGGUUCGAUAGUGGAAGAUGGUUUUGCUAUCACUUAUAGAUGGACCCGCGCCGCAUUAGCUAGUUGGUAAGGUAACGGCUUACCAAGGCGACGAUACGUAGCCGACCUGAGAGGGUGAUCGGACACAGUGGAACUGAGACACGGUACAGACUCAGACGGGAGGCAGAAGGAGGGAAUCUUCAGAAAUGGGAGAAAGCGUGACGGAGCAAAGCAGAGGGAGGGAUGAAGGUAUUCGGAUCGGAAAACUCUGUUAUUAGGGAAGAAAAAAGGUGUAAGUAAAUAUGCACGUCGUGACGGUACCUAAUCAGAAAGCCACGGCUAACUACGUG
rnacentral:rRNA from 1 species